UACGGAGGGGGCUAGCGUUGUUCGGAAUUACUGGGCGUAAAGCGCACGUAGGCGGCUUUGUAAGUUAGAGGUGAAAGCCCAGGGCUUAACCCUGGAAUUGCCUUUAAGACUGCAUCGCUAGAAUUGUGGAGAGGUAAGUGGAAUUCCGAGUGUAGAGGUGAAAUUCGUAGAUAUUCGGAAGAACACCAGUGGCGAAGGCGACUUACUGGACGACUGUUGACGCUGAGGUACGAAAGCGUGGGGAGCAAACAGG
rnacentral:rRNA from 1 species